GGGCCCGCACAAGCGGAGGAGCAUGUGGCUUAAUUCGAUGCAACGCGAAGAACCUUACCAGGGUUUGACAUGCAACUGCACGUCCCGUGAAAGCGGGAUUCCUUCGAGGGUGUUGCACAGGUGCUGCAUGGCUGUCGUCAGUUCGUGCCGUGAGGUGUUGGGUUAAGUCCCACAACGAACGCAACCCUUGUGUUUAGUUGCCACCACCGGUGAUGAACCGGUGAGCACUCUAGACAGACUGCCCGUGUUAAGCGGGAGGAAGGUGGGGAUGACGUCAAGUCAGUAUGGCCUUUAUAUCCUGGGCUGCACACGUGCUACAAUGGCCGGUCCAAAGGGAUGCAAUACCGCAAGGUGGAGCAAAUCCCCAAAAAGCGGCCUCAGUACGGAUUGGAGUCUGCAACUCGACUCCAUGAAGUUGGAUUCGCUAGUAACGACGCAUCAGCUACGGUGUCGUGAAUACGUUCCCGGGCCUU
rnacentral:rRNA from 1 species